AUUUCUGAAGGAUGGGAAGCCCGUUCUACUGACAGAGGGACAUGAAAUUCCCAUUUCCACUAACUACACCAUCAAGGGAGACACAAAGACGAUUUGUAUGAGCUAUAAGAAGUUGGCUAGUAGUUAGGAUCAAGCCUGUGGUAAUAGCAAAAUGUAGAUCAAGAUAUGAACGAGUUAUCUUGAAACUAAGCUAGCAUAAAGAUGGGUUUACUUGGCUCAGGAUAUUACUGAUUUAGGCGCUCUGAAUCAAGCAGCAAAGAUCUUUAUUCCAGGUAUGGUUCCCCUCCUUUCUUUUCAAAACAGAAUGGGGAAUAACUAAUAAGGUAACCAAAUCAUUUUGUUAAUACAUGUCAGACAUGCAGUUGUUGCUUGAUGUUGUUUUGCUGGUUCACAACUUCCUGAUUUGUUUGAUGACUUGUUUUAGAUUGUUCUUUAGCUUUUGUCUGGGUUGUUAACAAACUAUAGUAUCUGUUAGUUAAUUUAUGAUGCUCCUUCUGUAACGCGUAAAGAAAACACAAUGUUAAAUGUCAAUCCAAGACAGCAGCGACUCCGACUUACUCUCCUGAUAAAACCUCAUUCGAACUCUAACCAUGAGUGAGAGAUAAGUCUGAAAUCAACUACUAUAAAAAGUUUUAGUUGCGCAUAGAAAUUGCUCAUAGUAUAAGCUUGUUUUCUGUUUGAUUGACUUCUAUAGUCUGUUUCGUUUUUGGUCUGUUCACUCAUAGUACUCGUUUUUGGUCUC